UACGUAGGCAGCGAGCGUUGUUCGGAGUUACUGGGCGUAAAGAGUGUGUAGGCGGUUGUUCAAGUCAGGUGUGAAAGCCUUGAGCUCAACUCAAGAAAUGCACUUGAUACUGGAUGACUAGAGGACCGGAGAGGAUAGUGGAAUUCCCAGUGUAGUGGUGAAAUACGUAGAGAUUGGGAAGAACACCAGUGGCGAAGGCGGCUAUCUGGACGGUUUCUGACGCUAAGACGCGAAAGCGUGGGGAGCAAACAGG
rnacentral:rRNA from 1 species